AUUGAACGCUGGCGGCAGGCUUAACACAUGCAAGUCGAGCGGGGUAAUGGUGCUUGCACUAUCACUUAGCGGCGGACGGGUGAGUAAUGCUUAGGAAUCUGCCUAUUAGUGGGGGACAACAUCUCGAAAGGGAUGCUAAUACCGCAUACGUCCUACGGGAGAAAGCAGGGGAUCACUCGUGACCUUGCGCUAAUAGAUGAGCCUAAGUCGGAUUAGCUAGUUGGUGGGGUAAAGGCCUACCAAGGCGACGAUCUGUAGCGGGUCUGAGAGGAUGAUCCGCCACACUGGGACGGAGACACGGCCCAGACGCCUACGGGAGGCAGCAGUGGGGAAUAUUGGACAAUGGGGGAAACCCUGACGCAGCAACGCCGCGUGAGUGAGGAAGGACUUCGGUCUGUAAAGCUCUGUUAAUGUAGAAAAAUGGUAGUUGGUCUAAUAGGCCAAUUGCUUGAUGGUAUACAUAGAGGAAGCACCGGCUAACUUCGUGCCAGCCGCCGCGGUAA
rnacentral:rRNA from 1 species